CCUACGGGCGGCAGCAGUGGGGAAUCUUCGUCAAUGGACGAAAGUCUGACCGAGCAAAGUCGCGUGAGUGAAGACGGCUUUCGGGUCGUUAAACUCCUUUGUUAUGGGAGAAAAAGGACGCUAGUAACUGACCUUCCCCUGACGGUAUCUAACCAGAAAGCCACUGCUAACGACGUGCCAGCCGCCGCGGUAAGACGUAGGUGGCAAGCGUUGUCCGUAUUUAGUGGGCGUAAAGGGAGAGCAGGCGGUUUGUUAAGUCUGAUGUGAAAGCCCGCGGCUCAACCGUGGAGGGGCAUGGGAAACUGGGGGACUUGAGUGCAGAAGGGGAGGGUGGAAUU
rnacentral:rRNA from 1 species